rnacentral:rRNA from 1 species
CCAGACUCCUACGGGAGGCAGCAGUGGGGAAUAUUGCACAAUGGGGGAAACCCUGAUGCAGCGACGCCGCGUGAGUGAAGAAGUAUUUCGGUAUGUAAAGCUCUAUCAGCAGGGAAGAAAAUGACGGUACCUGACUAAGAAGCCCCGGCUAACUACGUGCCAGCAGCCGCGGUAAUACGUAGGGGGCAAGCGUUAUCCGGAUUUACUGGGUGUAAAGGGAGCGUAGACGGCAUGGCAAGCCAGAUGUGAAAGCCCGGGGCUCAACCCCGGGACUGCAUUUGAAACUGUCAGGCUGGAGUGCAGGAGAGGUAGGUGGAAUUCCUAGUGUAGCGGUGAAAUGCGUAGAUAUUAGGAGGAACACCAGUGGCGAAGGCGGUCUGCUGGACAGCAACUGACGCUGAGGCGCGAAAGCGUGGGGAGCAAACAGGAUUAGAUACCCUCGUACCU